GAGCGGCGAACGGGUGAGUAACACGUGAGUNACCUGCCCUGGACUUUGGGAUAACCCUCGGAAACGGGGGCUAAUACCGGAUACGACUCGCUGAUCGCAUGGNUGGNGGUGGAAAGUUUUUCGGUCUGGGAUGGGCUCGCGGCCUAUCAGCUUGUUGGUGGGGUGAUGGCCUACCAAGGCGACGACGGGUAGCCGGCCUGAGAGGGCGACCGGCCACACUGGGACUGAGACACGGCCCAGACUCCUACGGGAGGCAGCAGUGGGGAAUAUUGCACAAUGGGCGGAAGCCUGAUGCAGCGACGCCGCGUGAGGGAUGACGGCCUUCGGGUUGUAAACCUCUUUCAGCAGGGACGAAGCGAGAGUGACGGUACCUGCAGAAGAAGCGCCGGCCAACUACGUGCCAGCAGCCGCGGUAAGACGUAGGGCGCGAGCGUUGUCCGGAUUUAUUGGGCGUAAAGAGCUCGUAGGCGGCUUGUCGNGUCGUCCGUGAAAACUUGGGGCUCAACCCCAAGCUUGCGGUCGAUACGGGCAGGCUAGAGUUCGGUAGGGGAGACUGGAUUCCU
rnacentral:rRNA from 1 species